UAGGGAAUCUUCCACAAUGGGCGAAAGCCUGAUGGAGCAACGCCGCGUGUGUGAUGAAGGCUUUCGGUCGUAAAGCACUGUUGUAUGGGAAGAACAGCUAGAAUAGGAAAUGAUUUUAGUUUGACGGUACCAUACCAGAAAGGGACGGCUAAAUACGUGCCAG
rnacentral:rRNA from 1 species